AGCGAACGCUGGCGGCAGGCCUAACACAUGCAAGUCGAACGGACCCUUCGGGGUUAGUGGCGGACGGGUGAGUAACACGUGGGAACGUGCCUUUAGGUUCGGAAUAGCUCCUGGAAACGGGUGGUAAUGCCGAAUGUGCCCUUCGGGGGAAAGAUUUAUCGCCUUUAGAGCGGCCCGCGUCUGAUUAGCUAGUUGGUGGUGUAACGGACCACCAAGGCGACGAUCAGUAGCUGGCCUGAGAGGAUGAUCAGCCACAUUGGGACUGAGACACGGCCCAAACUCCUACGGGAGGCAGCAGUGGGGGAUCUUGCGCAAUGGGCGAAAGCCUGACGCAGCCAUGCCGCGUGAAUGAUGAAGGUCUUAGGAUUGUAAAAUUCUUUCACCGGGGACGAUAAUGACGGUGCCCGGAGAAGAAGCCCCGGCUAACUUCGUGCCAGCCGCCGCGGUAAGAC
rnacentral:rRNA from 1 species